CCUACGGGUAGCAGCAGUGAGGAAUAUUGGUCAAUGGGCGCGAGCCUGAACCAGCCAAGUAGCGUGAAGGAUGACUGCCCUACGGGUUGUAAACUUCUUUUAUAAAGGAAUAAAGUGAGGCACGUGUGCCUUUUUGUAUGUACUUUAUGAAUAAUGAUCGGCUAACUCCGUGCCAGCAGCCGCGGUAAUACGGAUGAUCCGAGCGUUAUCCGGAUUUAUUGGGUUUAAAGUGAGCGUAGAUGGGUUGUUAAGUCAGUUGUGAAAGUCUGCGGCUCAACCGUAAAAUUGCAAUUGAUACUGGCAGCCUUGAGUACAGUUGAGGUAGGCGGAAUUCGUGGUGUAGCGGUGAAAUGCUGAGAUAUCACGAAGAACUCCGAUUGCGAAGGCAGCUUACUAAACUGCCACUGACAUUGAUGCUCGAAAGUGUGGGUAUCAAACAGGAUUAGAUACCCUAGUAGUC
rnacentral:rRNA from 1 species